UCACACUCAAAUAACAUAUACUUCACAUUUAUUUAAAAAAACAUACUCUUCAUAUUUAUAAAUCCAAUAUAUGUACAUGAAUUUAAUAAAAAAUAUUUUUUUAUUAAUUUUAAAUAUCAUAUUGAUUUUGAUUUUAAAUUAAAUUAGAUUCUAACUCAGACCAGACGUGAACGAUCUGCUGGAGAUCCGCUGCAGAGUGUAGCUCCAGAUGUGUAACAGUAGUCCUUUGCUGCCCUCAUAAAACGAAGCGCAAAUGCUGAGUGACACGUACAGUGAAUUGAUAGCUGCUAGGCUGCAACCCCUAGAAAUCAAAGUCAAGUCUCAUUUUUCCAAAAGAAUGGACACCCAAACAAAACGACAUCCAACUGUUGCGUCGAGAAUUUAGUAGUAGAUAAUACAAGGCCCAUCGUCUCUUGGCUGCUUAAAAACAGAAAAAUAUCGUGAUUCUUCAUCAAUUUCAAAAUAAGAUUAUUAAAUCGUAAUAAGUUUAUUCUAGUCCAUUCAAAGCAUAUCUCAAGAUUUUCCUUAUGGUCCAAAAGAAAAAUUAUCAUUAUUAGAGAUAAAAGAUAGAGAAGGAAGUGGUUGCAUUUCAUUUGGUAAGCAAUGAGUGGCAAGGAUUAAUCCCAAAUCCAAAAUAACUAAUCAUACCUUGUUUGUGGAUAUUGGAUAAUGCGAGGAAACAAAAAGGAAUGGAUUGAAUUUGCCUCGAUAAGAAAUUGUGCCAAAUAAAGAGAGAAACAGAAAGGAGUGAAUUGUAACAUUUAAAGCACUUAAUAACCGUUGUUACAUCACUAUCAACCAUAAGAAAGCUGUAAUGAUGAUGAUGAAGCUCUGUUUGGUUCAACAUUUUGGCAUGGAGAUCAACACAAAUUCCACCCACAAUCACACAGGAUUACAAAUUAAUCACACACAAUCCUUAAUUAUUAGCGAUUUUCCACAUAAUGAAGGAUUUUUAUUUAUAACAUACACUACAUAAUCAAGCAGACUCAACUGACUUUGGAGAGAGAGAAUUUACAGCAUGAUUUGUGGGCAUAGACUUUGAUCGUUUCAUUAUCGAAGCGACCGAUGAUUUUGCCCGAUGAAAUCUGCACCUAAACGAUCCUUCAUGCGUCGUCGGUGAACACACGCAUUGGCCUCUUGGUGAGCUUGAGGCUGCCGUGACUCCUUCUUUGGCACUGCCUUUCGGAGACGUAGAAACCGCGACGUUGCCAUGGGAGGCCAUAUCUACGCAUAAGCGAGGAAACUGAAAAUGAGCAAAGAUAACGUUGGUGUGAAGUGCAUAUAUAUAUUGUCCUGAGUCCUGAGAAAGAGUAUAAGGUUAGAAUGGGCAAAUCCAGUCAAGUGGUGCGCUGUGAUUCCACCUUUUUGGUCUAUAUCAUUAGCCAACCAAACCAAUUGUCUACAUUGAUUAGAUACAGACUUCCAGCCUUGGUUUGGGUUUUCGUUUUCGACUCAUAAUCCAAAGAUCAUUAUCUCCGUCUCUGUGAAUUUUUCAUCGAUUGGCAAUGGCGAGAACGAGCAACAAGAACAUACAAGCCAAGCUGGUACUUCUCGGGGAUAUGGGGACUGGAAAGACAAGUUUGGUGUUAAGAUUCGUCAAAGGCCAAUUUUUCGAUUUCCAGGAAUCAACAAUUGGAGCGGCCUUUUUCACUCAGGUUUUGUCACUAAAUGAGGCCACCGUAAAGUUUGAUAUAUGGGAUACAGCAGGGCAGGAAAGAUACCAUAGCUUGGCUCCCAUGUACUACCGCGGUGCAGCUGCUGCUGUUGUGGUCUAUGAUAUCACAAGCGUGGUAGCUUUCAGUUUUCAUCAAGCUUCUAUUAUUUUUGUCUGUCUUUACUCUUUACCUUUUUGGGUGUCCUUCCUUAUCGUAGUUAUUUAUUGCAUUUGCCAGUAGUUGCUUAAACUUAAAGGAAUUAGGCCUUGUAAAAUGCAAUCAUGAGUGUAAUAAGUUUAUUUUAAUGGACAUUGGCUUAACUCUCUUUGUGAAAGUCCUUUAAUUUCUUGCAUAUCAAAUUUCAUGAAGCUUUUAAGCUUUUCUCUUGGUGAAAGGGAAAAGUGAUACAUCCUUUUAAGAAUACGAGUCCAUUGUGAGAAAAAAUGGCUGUGUUUGGGACAUUCUGAGGUCGGACAUUGAUUAAGUGAUCUACACAUUAUGCAAAUAUACAUUAUAUUAUCAUGUGCAAUUGUGUAGUCUAUCUUGCUACUUGCUAGAGAUAUAUUGCAUAAAUAUGUAGCCUAAGGAGUGACUGUAUUCUCCUAUGAAUUCUCUCCCUAAAUGACUUGUUAGAUGGUUUGGUCUUGUCUAUCAUUUAUUGAAAUACAAAUUAUAUGUCAAAUGAAGCAGAGAGUUUAAUGUGUCAAACAAUGCGAAAACCAUUGAAGUUGGUGGAUUAACUGGAUUGUUUAGCUUUAGUCACUCGACAAUUAUUUAUCUUGGAUUUUUUUUUUCUAUUAGACUUAUUUUUAAUGGACAAUUCAACUGACUAGUGUAAAAUAUGUUUUUUCUGUUUUAGGAAUCAUUUGAACGCGCCAAAAAAUGGGUUCUAGAAUUACAAAGACAAGGUAACUUUCUGAAAUGUACAAAGCAUUCUGGAAUUGAUUUCUCCUAAACUUGAGAAUUAACUAAGUGAUCCGGUGUAGCGUUAUGCCUGUAAUUUAAUAUUUUUAUCAUCUAAUCUUUUUUCUAGUUUUUCUUUAUUUUUCUCCUCUUAUAUUUAUGUUUUUAAGAUUGUAAGCUUAUCAUAUGUAUAUGUUGUAGGCCUUCACAUCUUUUACAUAAGUUCUUUGCUAGUUGCUAGAUCCUCUGUUUCCUGUUUUCCUAAAGUUGGAUUUCAUUAAUAUUCUCUGUGACAUUUUCCAAAGGAUUGCCAUUUCAGCCUUUAGGUUUGUCUAAGUUUUCUGCCUCUGAAGUUUGACACUUUGUUAUGGUUUCACCAAAGUCAUAUACCAUCUUAAUGGAGGUCUCAAUCAAGUAUUUUUAUCAAAUUUUUAGUAAAUUAUUUAAUUUUAAAUGCUUGGAUUUUGAUCAGCAGUAUAUACGAAUUUCAAAUUUAACUUCAUUGAACUGACUUUUUCAGAUAUCAUGUAGAAAAUUAUUCACCAUACAACAAAUAAUUCAACAAUCUAAGUGAAAUUUGGUGUUCACAUCUUAUUCAGGUAAUCCAAAUUUGAUAAUGUUCUUGGCGGCAAACAAAGCUGACUUGGAAGAGAAGAGAAAAGUUGCAAGUGAGGAAGGUGAGCAAUAUGCUAAAGAAAAUGGCUUGGUUUUUCUUGAAACGUCUGCAAAAACUGCACAGAAUGUGAAUGAGCUCUUUUAUGAAAUAGCUAAGAAAUUGGUAAAAGCUGCACCUUUACGUCCAACUGGAAUGAAAUUGCAUACCAGACAGCAAGAAAGUGGAAGAAGAAUGCUCUGUUGCUCUUAAUGAAUGACGAUAGUGAUAAUUGUCAUCUACUUGUAUGUAAAUUUCCCUUUGCUCUUUGACUUUGAUCUGUCCAUUCUUGUUCGAAUAAAUGAAGAACAUGAUUCCAUCACCCACAAGGGAGCCCUUGAUCAGAUAACAUCAAUGAUUAAAGUGUGGCUCAUAUUGAUCAGUACUUAUCAUUUUAUGAUUUGAUGAGCGGAGCUUCCCCGUGGGUGAUGUAAUCUGUUUCUAAAAUUUUCAGAUCAGUACAGUUUUCUUUAAAAGCAAAUUCAUUCUUUUGACUGCUAUCUUUUGGCAGGAUUUCCUUAACUAUUUUUGAGGAUGUUGGGGUAUGAGAUUGGAAUGAAUUGUGGUUCAUCAGCAUUGAAGAUUAAGCUGCUCAGCUCUCUGCAGAAUGCAAUUCUUGUGAAAGUCUGUUGUUUCAUCAAUGUAUAUUGUUACUGCUCGAGUACAAAUGCUUUGUGACAUUAACAAACACUUAACAUGCUCAACUAUAUGCAAGAAAGCUAUUGAACUUGAAAUGAAAGAACAAAACUUUGAUUUG
rnacentral:misc_RNA from 1 species